AGCAGAGCCCAGAGAGGAAUAAACCAAGACCACCAGCUAAGUCACUGCGUAAUGUGCUAUGGAUAUGAGCAUUGAAUGCCCUCAGUGGCAAUGACUCAGGACCAAGUCGACCUUUUGCAGGAAUUACCUGCAAAGGAAACUGGGAACUCCACGGCAUCUGUCAUCCUUCCCUCCAGAUGGUGCCUCCAAAUCUCUUCUGAAAUGGUGUGUGCAGAGCAGACACAGAGUGCCUAUCACUCAGCCCUCUGGUGGUCCUCCGGGACAGAGAGAACACAAAAUCAGAAAUAAG